UCCAGAGCUGCUGGUCCUUGCUUCACCAAGAGGAACUGUUGUUGAAUGUUAGGAAACAAAAUCUAUGGAUCUGUGGAUCUGUCCCUUAGAGAUAACUACAGCUGCAAGAACUGCACUUCUGAAAGCAGUACAAACAUGACAGAAGCUUCUGUGGACACGUAUAGUACAAGGUUUGGUUUGAACUCAGAAACCUCUUCUGGAAUUUUAAUAUCUCCUUAAAUAAGCUCACAAAAAAGAGAUGUUCUGCAAAGGGGACUUUGCAUCAAUUAUUUUAAGCCUUCCAAAAAGGAGCAUGUGCAAGUUUCCCACAUCCGUUUUUGUGACUGCGAAGACCCCGACUUGUGAGUAUAUCUGUCCUUUUAAUCAGCUUGAACGUGUGCUUAUAGAUUUCCUAGUUGCACCUUUAGAGUGACUAGGUUUGGACCCAUUCCUGCAAGGAGGAGCUUAAAUACCUCAGAGCUGCAUUUACUAGCGUUACUAGCUCCAUAUAAUAAUGCUCACAGGCCACUGUUUUUAUCUGUUAGCGCUAGCAUAUUCUUCCUUUAGUUUGCUGCUUCUACCUCAUACUGUAUGGCAAGAACACAUACAAGAGGAAAAGCCAUACUUUUCAAACAAUAUUGAUGUUCCUGUUUAGGCUGCUGGAGGUGAUUUUGGAACUGUGGAGAAGCUAAAGGCAUGAAAAUAAUCUUUUACUGCCUUGCUUACUCUAGCAAUUUUUUUCUUUUCUACAAUGUAAAUCUAAAGCAGCCUCAAAAUUUGUCAGUCUGUCUUAAUAAGCACAUCACUAUUUCUGAAUGCUGUUCUGAAAACCACAGCAAGGAAACCUAUUUUUGUGCCGGCUUUUGAAAUGAAGACCCCGACUUUGAGGAAAGAUGCGUAUUUUGAAAUGCAUUAUUGUGUCAAGCUAGUGGCAGCCAAAUAAAUUAAAGAAACAAAAGGGAAAACCGUUGUGC
rnacentral:lncRNA from 1 species